UACAGAGGGUGCGAGCGUUAAUCGGAAUUACUGGGCGUAAAGCGUGCGUAGACGGUAGCGUAAGUCAGAUGUGAAAGCCCCCGGGCUCAACCUGGGAAUUGCAUUUGAGACUGCUCUGCUCGGGUGCGGAAGAGGGAAGCGGAAUUUCCGGUGUAGCGGUGAAAUGCGUAGAUAUGCGGAGGAACACCGAUGGCGAAGGCAAUCCCCUGGACCUGUACUGACGCUCAUGCACGAAAGCGUGGGGAGCAACAGG
rnacentral:rRNA from 1 species